rnacentral:tRNA from 2 species
GCCCGCCUAGCUCAACGGUAGAGCAAUUGUUUUGUAAACAAUCGGUUAGCGGUUCGAACCCUCUGGUGGGCUCCA